rnacentral:sRNA from 1 species
CUCGUAUCCCCCGCGGAGGCCGAGAGCUGACAGUCUCGGGGAUGAGCUCUGGGCAGGACGGCGGGCCGAGGAGCCCGGGGAGGGACCCGGAGCUCCAGGUAGAAGCUGCGGAGGUUACCACCAAAGAACAUGAUUUUGGUCUAGGGGCUCCAGUUUCUGAAGCUGAAAACUACCAGAAUACUCUCCAGCUAGAACGAGAAGUGAGAAACCAAGAUAGAUUCAUCUCGACACUGAAAUUACAGAUUGAAGAUCUCAAACAGACAAAUCAUGGCUUGGAAGAAUAUGUUAGGAAACUCUUGGAUAGUAAGGAGGUGGUAAGCAGUCAAGUAGAUGAUUUAACCAGCCACAAUGAGCAUCUUUGUAAAGAAUUGAUUAAAAUUGACCAACUAGCAGAGCAACUAGAAAAGGAGAAAAAUUUUGUGGUGGAUUCCGCCAACAAGGAACUUGAAGAAGCCAAGAUUGAACUCAUUUGCCAGCAAAAUAAUAUUAUAGUAUUGGAAGAUACAAUAAAAAGGCUUAAAUCUAUAAUUUUAGAUACUGAAAAAGCACAAAAUAAAUCUCCUUCUAGACUUGAUUCCUU